rnacentral:rRNA from 1 species
UACGGAGGGUGCGAGCGUUGUCCGGAAUCACUGGGCGUAAAGGGCGCGUAGGUGGCGCGACAAGUCAACGGUGAAAGCUCGGCGCUCAACGCCGAGUCGGCCGUCGAUACUGUUGGGCUGGAGCACUGUAGAGGCUCAUGGAAUUCCAGGUGUAGCGGUGAAAUGCGUAGAUAUCUGGAGGAACAUCGGUGGCGAAGGCGGCAUCCUGGACCGGUAUUGACGCUGAGGCGCGAAAGCCAGGGGAGCAAACGGG